rnacentral:tRNA from 1 species
AUUUAUAUAGUUUAUUUAAAACCCUUCAUUUUCAGUGAAUAAAUAAGAAUUUAUUCUUUAUAAAUA